rnacentral:misc_RNA from 1 species
GAUGAAGAACGUAGCGAAAUGCGAUAAGUAGUGUGAAUUGCAGAAUUCAGUGAAUCAUCGAAUCUUUGAACGCACAUUGCGCCCCUUGGUAUUCCAUGGGGCAUGCCUGUUCGAGCGUCAUUUGUACCUUCAAGCUCUGCUUGGUGUUGGGUGUUUGUCUCGCCUCUGCGUGUAGACUCGCCUCAAACCAAUUGGCAGCCGGCGUAUUGAUUUCGGAGCGCAGUACAUCUCGCGCUUUGCACUCAUAACGACGACGUCCAAAAGUACAUUUUUACACUCUUGACCUCGGAUCAGGUAGGGAUACCCGCUGAACUUAAGCAUAUCAAUAAGCGGAGGA